rnacentral:rRNA from 1 species
GAAUCUUGGACAAUGGGCGCAAGCCUGAUCCAGCCAUGCCGCGUGAGUGAAGAAGGCCUUCGGGUUGUAAAGCUCUUUUGCCAGGGACGAUAAUGACGGUACCUGGAGAAUACGCCCCGGCAAACUUCGUGCCAGCAGCCGCGGUAAUACGAAGGGGGCUAGCGUUGUUCGGAAUUACUGGGCGUAAAGCGCACGUAGGCUGAUAGUUAAGUGAGGGGUGAAAUCCCGAGGCUCAACCUCGGAACUGCCUUUCAUACUGGCUGUCUCGAGUCCGGAAGAGGUUAGUGGAAUUCCUAGUGUAGAGGUGAAAUUCGUAGAUAUUAGGAAGAACACCAGUGGCGAAGGCGGCUAACUGGUCCGGUACUGACGCUGAGGUGCGAAAGCGUGGGUAGCAAACAGG